GAUGAACGCUGGCGGCGUGCCUAACACAUGCAAGUCGAACGUCCUGUGGGCUUUCGGGCGCACAGGGAGUGGCGGACGGGUGAGUAACACAUGGGUGACCUAUCUUUCAGUGAGGAAUACCGGCGAGAAAUCGCCGACAAGACCGCAUCCGUUCUGCUGUCUGAGGCAGCAGAAGAAAGCCGCAAGGCGCUGGAAGCUGGGCCCGUGGCCGAUUAGCUAGUUGGUGGGGUAAGGGCCCACCAAGGCAACGAUCGGUAGCUGGUCUGAGAGGACGAGC
rnacentral:rRNA from 1 species